rnacentral:rRNA from 1 species
GACGAACGCUGGCGGCGUGCCUAAUACAUGCAAGUAGAACGCUGAAGGAGGAGCUUGCUUCUCCGGAUGAGUUGCGAACGGGUGAGUAACGCGUAGGUAACCUGCCUGGUAGCGGGGGAUAACUAUUGGAAACGAUAGCUAAUACCGCAUAACAGUAGAUAUCGCAUGAUAUCUGCUUGAAAGGUGCAAUUGCAUCACUACCAGAUGGACCUGCGUUGUAUUAGCUAGUUGGUGAGGUAACGGCUCACCAAGGCGACGAUACAUAGCCGAUCUGAGAGGGUGAUCGGCCACACUGGGACUGAGACACGGCCCAGACUCCUACGGGAGGCAGCAGUAGGGAAUCUUCGGCAAUGGACGGAAGUCUGACCGAGCAACGCCGCGUGAGUGAAGAAGGUUUUCGGAUCGUAAAGCUCUGUUGUAAGAGAAGAACGAGUGUGAGAGUGGAAAGUUCACACUGUGACGGUAUCUUACCAGAAAGGGACGGCUAACUACGUG